UACGUAGGGGGCAAGCGUUGUCCGGAAUCAUUGGGCGUAAAGCGCGUGUAGGCGGACUGGAAGGUCUGGUGUGAAAGCCCGGGGCUCAACCCCGGAGGGUCACUGGAAACCGACAGUCUUGAGUCCGGAAGAGGAGAGUGGAAUUCCUGGUGUAGCGGUGGAAUGCGCAGAUAUCAGGAGGAACACCUAUGGCGAAGGCAGAUCUCUGGGCCGUAACUGACGCUGAGGAGCGAAAGCGUGGGGAGCGAACAGG
rnacentral:rRNA from 1 species